GCUUGCCUAAGGAGGGCUUAGACGAGGGAGGAUACCACAUUCUCACUCUGCUGUCUUUCCUCUAUCAAGUGUCUUACUGGGAGGCUGUGGACCGAUGCCAGGUGACGUGAUAGACAGCUACUGGACUAAUUUGCAAAGCGAAUUUCUGAAGUCAGAUUUUUUGCUUGAUAUGGAUUCCAUCUUCAGAGAAGAUGUGGAAACUGAGACCCAGAGAAAUUCUCUUACCUGCCCAUGCUCACAUGAUGACAGUGACCCGAACCUGGGCCCUCUGGUUCCAAGCUUGGUGCUCUUUCCACCACCACAGGCAAAGCCAUCACAGCCUCUGUCAUGGAUGCUGGAUAAUUGGGAUUCGUUGCACAACCUACAUUCUCUGAAAGAUGAUUGACAUCCCUGCAGUUUGUACUGUGUGAAAGUGGCCACGUUGUCAAAACCUGGGCAAACACAAUCUUCUCAAAAGGUUAAUUGGAAUUCAGUUGAAUACAAAGAACGAAGAGUUUUUCUCACAUACUUUUAAUACACAGUUUUAAAGUUAUGAUUGGAAUAAAGUAUUUUAUCUAGAUUAGCACUGACCACUUAUGGUAGCCACCAGCUAUGUGUGGCUAUAGAGCACUUGGAAUGUGGCUAAUCCAAAAUAAGGUAUGCUGUAAGUAUAAAAUAUGCACCAGACAUUUUAAAAUUGUUUUAUUAAGAAAAUGAAUGCAAAAUAACUCAUUAAUUUUUAACUGAUUACCUAUUGAAGCAAUAAUAUUUUGGACGUAUCGGAUUAACUAAAAUAUGAUAGUAAAAUUAAUUUUACUUUUUUUACUUUUUAAUGUGACUACUAGAAAAUAUAAAUUACAUGUAUGGCUCACAUAUUUCUACUGGGCAGCUUUGUUUUCAAAAAAGAUUAGAGGGUGACUCUUCUCAAACAGUUUAAUUAAUGUUAUUUGAAGCUCAUUAGAGUAUGUAUUUAUAUCUACAGCAUGUGAAAUAAAGAUAAUAAUGUCAUUUCAUACCAGUUCAUUUUAUAAUAAGCCCUACUGAUGCCUCUAAAAUAUGAAAUAAUUUCAGAAUAAUUUUGAUUUAUGUCUAAAAGGACCUUGUCAUAACACAGUGUGUUACAGAGUCUUAGAAUUUCUAGAUAUCCUAAAAAAUCAUCUAAUUUAAUCCCAUCUUUUUAGAGAAAGAAACUAAGAGGAGUUUACCUGAUCACCUUAAUAUUACUUACGAGUAAAGCGAAAACUGGAACUCAGAUCUCUGAAUCCCAAGCCACAAGAUUUCUAUUGUACCAGUACUAUUUAAAUCUGACAGUGUUUCAAAAGUAGAACACAACUAUUCCUUGUUUUUUUGCCCCUAAUAAGUAGUUUUAUUUUUUCAAAAGAACUUCAAUUCAAAAGCUACAUUUCUAAAAAUUGCCAUAACUGAGGCCACACUCAUUAACCCAAAGAGAUUUGAUUAAGGUAAUUGAAUAAUAUAUUUUUGUUGGUCUCCUUCCCCAACACAUAUAGUUUUAUCUAAAAAGGUUUUAUGACACAAAGCAAUCGAAGCACAAAACUGACAAAAUCACCAACAAGGAAUAAGGUUUCUAAACAGAAGAAGAUAUGCA